rnacentral:rRNA from 1 species
ACACUAUCAUUAACUGAAUCCAUAGGUUAAUGAGGCGAACCGGGGGAACUGAAACAUCUAAGUACCCCGAGGAAAAGAAAUCAACCGAGAUUCCCCCAGUAGCGGCGAGCGAACGGGGAGGAGCCCAGAGCCUGAAUCAGUGUGUGUGUUAGUGGAAGCGUCUGGAAAGGCGCGCGAUACAGGGUGACAGCCCCGUACACAAAAAUGCACAUACUGUGAGCUCGAUGAGUAGGGCGGGACACGUGGUAUCCUGUCUGAAUAUGGGGGGACCAUCCUCCAAGGCUAAAUACUCCUGACUGACCGAUAGUGAACCAGUACCGUGAGGGAAAGGCGAAAAGAACCCCGGCGAGGGGAGUGAAAAAGAACCUGAAACCGUGUACGUACAAGCAGUGGGAGCCUCUUAAUGGGGUGACUGCGUACCUUUUGUAUAAUGGGUCAGCGACUUAUAUUCUGUAGCAAGGUUAACCGAAUAGGGGAGCCGAAGGGAAACCGAGUCUUAACUGGGCGUUAAGUUGCAGGGUAUAGACCCGAAACCCGGUGAUCUAGCCAUGGGCAGGUUGAAGGUUGGGUAACACUAACUGGAGGACCGAACCGACUAAUGUUGAAAAAUUAGCGGAUGACUUGUGGCUGGGGGUGAAAGGCCAAUCAAACCGGGAGAUAGCUGGUUCUCCCCGAAAGCUAUUUAGGUAGCGCCUCGUGAAUUCAUCUCCGGGGGUAGAGCACUGUUUCGGCAAGGGGGUCAUCCCGACUUACCAACCCGAUGCAAACUGCGAAUACCGGAGAAUGUUAUCACGGGAGACACACGGCGGGUGCUAACGUCCGUCGUGAAGAGGGAAACAACCCAGACCGCCAGCUAAGGUCCCAAAGUCAUGGUUAAGUGGGAAACGAUGUGGGAAGGCCCAGACAGCCAGGAUGUUGGCUUAGAAGCAGCCAUCAUUUAAAGAAAGCGUAAUAGCUCACUGGUCGAGUCGGCCUGCGCGGAAGAUGUAACGGGGCUAAACCAUGCACCGAAGCUGCGGCAGCGACGCUUAUGCGUUGUUGGGUAGGGGAGCGUUCUGUAAGCCUGUGAAGGUGGCCUGUGAGGGUUGCUGGAGGUAUCAGAAGUGCGAAUGCUGACAUAAGUAACGAUAAAGCGGGUGAAAAGCCCGCUCGCCGGAAGACCAAGGGUUCCUGUCCAACGUUAAUCGGGGCAGGGUGAGUCGACCCCUAAGGCGAGGCCGAAAGGCGUAGUCGAUGGGAAACAGGUUAAUAUUCCUGUACUUGGUGUUACUGCGAAGGGGGGACGGAGAAGGCUAUGUUGGCCGGGCGACGGUUGUCCCGGUUUAAGCGUGUAGGCUGGUUUUCCAGGCAAAUCCGGAAAAUCAAGGCUGAGGCGUGAUGACGAGGCACUACGGUGCUGAAGCGACAAAUGCCCUGCUUCCAGGAAAAGCCUCUAAGCAUCAGGUAACAUUAAAUCGUACCCCAAACCGACACAGGUGGUCAGGUAGAGAAUACCAAGGCGCUUGAGAGAACUCGGGUGAAGGAACUAGGCAAAAUGGUGCCGUAACUUCGGGAGAAGGCACGCUGAUAUGUAGGUGAAGCGACUUGCUCGUGGAGCUGAAAUCAGUCGAAGAUACCAGCUGGCUGCAACUGUUUAUUAAAAACACAGCACUGUGCAAACACGAAAGUGGACGUAUACGGUGUGACGCCUGCCCGGUGCCGGAAGGUUAAUUGAUGGGGUUAGCGGUAACGCGAAGCUCUUGAUCGAAGCCCCGGUAAACGGCGGCCGUAACUAUAACGGUCCUAAGGUAGCGAAAUUCCUUGUCGGGUAAGUUCCGACCUGCACGAAUGGCGUAAUGAUGGCCAGGCUGUCUCCACCCGAGACUCAGUGAAAUUGAACUCGCUGUGAAGAUGCAGUGUACCCGCGGCAAGACGGAAAGACCCCGUGAACCUUUACUAUAGCUUGACACUGAACAUUGAGCCUUGAUGUGUAGGAUAGGUGGGAGGCUUUGAAGUGUGGACGCCAGUCUGCAUGGAGCCGACCUUGAAAUACCACCCUUUAAUGUUUGAUGUUCUAACGUGGGCCCCUUACCGGGGUUGCGGACAGUGUCUGGUGGGUAGUUUGACUGGGGCGGUCUCCUCCUAAAGAGUAACGGAGGAGCACGAAGGUUGGCUAAUCCUGGUCGGACAUCAGGAGGUUAGUGCAAUGGCAUAAGCCAGCUUGACUGCGAGCGUGACGGCGCGAGCAGGUGCGAAAGCAGGUCAUAGUGAUCCGGUGGUUCUGAAUGGAAGGGCCAUCGCUCAACGGAUAAAAGGUACUCCGGGGAUAACAGGCUGAUACCGCCCAAGAGUUCAUAUCGACGGCGGUGUUUGGCACCUCGAUGUCGGCUCAUCACAUCCUGGGGCUGAAGUAGGUCCCAAGGGUAUGGCUGUUCGCCAUUUAAAGUGGUACGCGAGCUGGGUUUAGAACGUCGUGAGACAGUUCGGUCCCUAUCUGCCGUGGGCGCUGGAGAACUGAGGGGGGCUGCUCCUAGUACGAGAGGACCGGAGUGGACGCAUCACUGGUGUUCGGGUUGUCAUGCCAAUGGCACUGCCCGGUAGCUAAAUGCGGAAGAGAUAAGUGCUGAAAGCAUCUAAGCACGAAACUUGCCCCGAGAUGAGUUCUCCCUGACUCCUUGAGAGUCCUGAAGGAACGUUGAAGACGACGACGUUGAUAGGCCGGGUGUGUAAGCGCAGCGAUGCGUUGAGCUAACCGGUACUAAUGAACCGUGAGGCUUAACCUU